AUCCCAUGAUGAGGACACUUACAAACCAACUCUUUGAAUCUCUUCCAUACCUCGUAUAAGGACUCGUCAUACAAUUAUUGAAAAGUAGUUAUCUCAUUUCGCAAUUU
rnacentral:snoRNA from 1 species